GACGAACGCUGGCGGCGUGCUUAACACAUGCAAGUCGAACGCUGAAGCUCAGCUUUUGUUGGGUGGAUGAGUGGCGAACGGGUGAGUAACACGUGAGUAACCUGCCCCCUUCUUUGGGAUAACGCCCGGAAACGGGUGCUAAUACUGGAUAUUCACUGGUCCUCGCAUGGGGGUUGGUGGAAAGGGUUUUUCUGGUGGGGGAUGGGCUCGCGGCCUAUCAGCUUGUUGGUGGGGUGAUGGCCUACCAAGGCUUUGACGGGUAGCCGGCCUGAGAGGGUGACCGGUCACAUUGGGACUGAGAUACGGCCCAGACUCCUACGGGAGGCAGCAGUGGGGAAUAUGGCACAAUGGGCGCAAGCCUGAUGCAGCGACGCCGCGUGAGGGAUGGAGGCCUUCGGGUCGUGAACCUCUUUCGCUCAUGGUCAAGCCGCAACAAUGGUUGUGGUGAGGGUAGUGGGUAAAGAAGCGCCGGCUAACUACGUG
rnacentral:rRNA from 1 species